GAAUCUGGCAGGCCAGGCGGUUGCUCCGGGGAUGGGUCCUGGACAUGGAGACUUUCUCCGUGAGUGAGGCCUUGUUGAGCUUUGGUUCUGUGAUUGAGAUCUCCAGCCUCCGGGAAGCCAUCAAAGAUGCCAUUGCUUCUGUGCUCCCCAAAGUGGAAAGAGUGUUUGUUUACCUCCUGGAUGGGGAAGCGCGUCUGACCUGCAGCGACCCACCACAUGACUUUCCGCAGGAGGGCCAGCUCAGGUGAGGCUC